AUGAAGCGCAACAGUGCGGCUGGCCCGGACGGCUUUCCUGCCGAGUUCUUUCAAUUUUUCUGGAACCUCAUUUGUAACGAUCUCCUUAGGCUUUUUCAUGACUUUUAUGAGGGCAAGAUUAACAUUUCAAGGCUUAACUAUGGGGUAGUCACUUUGCUUGCUAAGGGGCAGGGGGCUGAUAGGAUUCAAAUGUACCGCCCCAUCUGUAUGCUGAACGUUCCUUUUAAAAUUUUUACAAAAGCUCUUAACAAUAGAGCUAUGAAAAUUGCGGAUAAAACAAUUUCCAAAGCUCAAUCUGCGUUUAUAAAAGGGCGCUACAUCCUGGACAAUGUACUU
rnacentral:rRNA from 1 species